rnacentral:rRNA from 1 species
GAGUUUGAUCCUGGCUCAGGAUGAACGCUGGCGGCGUGCUUAACACAUGCAAGUCGAACGAAGCACUUGAGAUUGAAUCUUCGGAUGAGAACUCUUGUGACUGAGUGGCGGACGGGUGAGUAACGCGUGGGUAACCUACCUCAUACAGGGGGAUAACAGUUGGAAACGACCGCUAAUACCGCAUAACCCGCUAGUAUCGCAUGAUACAGACGGAAAAGAUUUAUCGGUGUGAGAUGGACCCGCGUCUGAUUAGCCAGUUGGCAGGGUAACGGCCUACCAAAGCAACGAUCAGUAGCCGGCCUGAGAGGGUGAACGGCCACAUUGGGACUGAGACACGGCCCAAACUCCUACGGGAGGCAGCAGUGGGGAAUAUUGCACAAUGGGGGAAACCCUGAUGCAGCGACGCCGCGUGAGUGAGGAAGUAUUUCGGUAUGUAAAGCUCUAUCAGCAGGGAAGAAAAUGACGGUACCUGACUAAGAAGCCCCGGCUAACUACGUGCCAGCA